GUAUCAGGAUAACACAAAAAGAAGAAUUAUUAAAAAUAUCUCUAAAAGUUUUGUUAUUGUGAACUUCAAAUCAUAUUAAAUAAUUUAAAAUAAUACCGUAAGAAUAUGAAAAAGUUUAACAGUAAUACUUAUGUGUAUAUAAAGCUAAGCUAUGGAUUGACUUGCAGUGACUACAUCCUUUAGUGCUUGUAAACAUUAUUCCACGGCGUUAAUGCUUUACCUUAACAAGCAAAUACUGGAAAAAAUUGAAAUCCAAAUGAAUAUUAAAUUUAUAUGAAUCUCCUCCAACAUAGGAAUUCAGGAUAACGAAAAAAGUACGAUUACAGUAAACGCGAUAUUCGCCAGUGAUUUGAAACUUUUCGUGAAAAAGAUAGUGAUAAGUGCCUAGUAAAAUCCUCGAAAUAGAAAUUACACAAAGCUUAACCUAGUGAAAAAUCCUGGAAAAUAAUACCAAGCAGGCGGUUCAACCAACUACUGCUGACAAAACUAAAGACAGUUAUUGGACAAAACUGAAUUACCCGUGUUUUUACAUAGAUAUACCAGUAAGUAAUAGUGAAGCAUAUAUUUUUAUUGAUUGUCCCAAGUAUUAAUUCACAAAGUAUAUUGGAAGCUGCACUAAUUUAGAAUUGCAAUUUAGAUAUGGUCGUAGAAAUAAAUUUAUGUAAAAAUUAUAAAAUAAGUCUUUCUUCCCUGAUGGUCAAUUUGUUGAGCCGAUAGUAAAAAUUAAAGAAGAAAGUAAUUAUUUAUGAGUCUGAACGAUUUGAAAAAACCAUGUAUUAAUAUAGUCACAUCUUCACUACACAUUGAUGAUCUGAAAAUGUUUGUGUAACAAAUAAAAUGAAGUUGAAAUAUCUAAUUUUCUAUUAGUAGAAAGUAUCAUAUUUGUAUAUUUCACACUGGUCAAUGAUUAAUAUAUAAUUUAGGAAAUACUUUUUAGAUAUUUGAGGUAAUUCUUUCUCUUUAGAACUCUUCAUAUCCUUUCGUUGGGAUGUUAGUUUUCAUUCUUUUAUCAAUUUUAUUCACUCUUUCCAUUCCUUUGCUAUUUCAUUCAUCUGCUGUACUGUUUUCCCUUGUCAUCAUGUGCUACUUGUCCUAAUUAAAUUUUUCUGGAUUUUCUUUUACUUUUAUGUUGUAUCACUUUUUCUUAUUAGGCUUUGUGGUUUUCCUCUCUUUAGACAUCUUUCAACAAUAAUGUAAUUAAAAAAUAAAUGUUCCAAACAUUUUCAAUCUUAAAACAAAGUGUAAAACAUUAGAGACAUCCAAUGAAUUCUAGAUAAAGAAGAAAUAAAAUAUUGAAGAUGAUUUAUUCGGAUUAAUGAAAUACAUAUCAUACAAGGGUUUAUUAUCUAUUAAUUUCAAAAUUUUUAAGGCCUAAUUUCUUAUCCUUAUCUCUUCUUAUCAUAUACUUAUAUAGAAAUUACCCUUUUCUAUUAUAAAUGAAUAUUCUCCAGUUUCAAAAUCUCUGAUUAUGGGUGAAUAAAAUUUAACAUGUUGUCUUAAAAUUGUUUAUUACCAUUAUUUUAUUACAAUAAAAAAUUAUAUACAAAAAUUUCUGGUUAUUUAUUAAUUUACAAACGAGGCACCAGUAAAUUUCAUUGAAAUCUUAUGGGUCCUUUGUUCAUCUGCUGGUUUAUUUAUUUUCAGAUGUAAAUUUUGUUAUAUUGGUUAAAAAUGUUUUUAAUUUCUUUGUUUAUAUUGAUUCCUAUUAUAGCUUGAGUUUUUUACAGUAAAGUUCAACAUUCGCGAAUUUUUUCUAGCGAUUUUAAAAUAAUAUGUAUUAUAUAAUGAACUCCACUUCCUUAUUCAAUUAUACACUGUGUAUCAUACAAUUAUGAAUGAAUAAUAUAAUAUAAUGUUAACCGAAGAUUUCUUUGUACAGUUUAUAUUUAUUUAAUAAAAAUAAACAGAAAUAAAUAAAAUGUGAAA